AGAGCGAACGCUGGCGGCAGGCCUAACACAUGCAAGUCGAGCGGGCGUAGCAAUACGUCAGCGGCAGACGGGAGAGUAACACGUGGGAACGCGCCCUUCGGUUCGGAAUAACUCAGGGAAACUUGAGCUAAUACCGGAUACGCCCUUACGGGGAAAGAUUUAUCGCCGAAGGAACGGCCCGCGUCGGAUUAGCUAGUUGGUGAGGUAACGGCUCACCAAGGCGACGAUCCGUAGCUGGUCUAAGAGGAUGAUCAGCCUCACUGGGACUGAGACACGGCCCAGACUCCUACGGGAGGCAGCAGUGGGGAAUAUUGGACAAUGGGCGCAAGCCUGAUCCAGCCAUGCCGCGUGGAUGAUGAAGGCCUUAGGGUUGUAAAGUCCUUUCAGCGGGGAAGAUAAUGACGGUACCGCAGAAGAACGCCCGGCUAACUCGCGCCAGCAGCCG
rnacentral:rRNA from 1 species